GGACCGUUAGCUCAAUUUGGUAGAGCAGCUGGCUCUUAACCAGCGGGCUCUGGGUUCAAGUCCCGGACGGUCCA
rnacentral:tRNA from 3 species